UUUGCAAGGGGGAUGGGAACGACUUCAAUAUGAGUGCCGAUAGAGGAGACAGCAAUUUAAUUAAUUGUACUAACAACGUACUGAUAGAAACAUUGGUUCUCUUACAAUCAUAUUCGAUGAGGAAUCAGAGUUUAUCCUGAAUAAUUCUCAUCAUUUUGUGCUGAUUCAUUUCCUUUUCAGCACUAACUAUAAUUAAAUAAAGAUGUUACUUCUUUUUUAAUCUGAUUAGUAGAAGGUACCGAAAAUAAUUUGCAUAUCAUAGUAUUGUGAAUAGAAUUUCAUAUGUUUUCUUAUGUACCUGGGUUUCGCGAUUGCAAGCCAUCUUGCUGAAUCAUGAUCUAAUAAAAUGACUGAAAUAGCCAUUUACAUAUAAAGUAACAUAACGUAAAAUAAUUUGCGAAAUAAUCCAACGCCGCUCAGAGUAAACCUAAGAAUAGGCUAUUGCAUGGUUCUCUAAAAAUAAAAAUCAAUGAAAAUGUAUUUUCUUCUUGCCGAGCGAAAAACUGUAUUUUUGAGCGUAUAAAGCCAGAAAACCGGCAUUGAACUUCUAUGUAAUAUUAAGUUACUACUAUGAUGUCCGUUGACAUAUGUAAACUAUAGUAACUGAGCCUUUUUCUUAAAAAUUAGGUUUGAAAUAAUGCCAAAUUAAUUAAUGCCUAAUCUAAGCA
rnacentral:lncRNA from 1 species